rnacentral:rRNA from 1 species
AUUGAACGCUGGCGGCAUGCCUUACACAUGCAAGUCGAACGGCAGCAUGAUCUAGCUUGCUAGAUUGAUGGCGAGUGGCGAACGGGUGAGUAUAAAACAGCACCUUCCCCUUUUUCGGGGGUUAACAGGUGGAAAAAUUGACUAUAAUACCUCAGACCCGAUGGGGGAAAGAGGGGGCCGUCAUGGCACCUUGCUCUAGUGAGGGCGAUGUUUGAUUAGCUAGUUGGGGGGGUAAAGGCCCACCAAGGCGACGAUCAGUAGCUGGUCUGAGAGGACGAUCAGCCACACUGGAACUGAGACACGGCCCAGACUCCUACGGGAGGCAGCAGUGGGGAAUUUUGGACAAUGGGGGCAAGCCUGAUCCAGCAAUGCCGCGUGUGUGAAGAAGGCCUUCGGGUUGUAAAGCACUUUUGUUCGGAAAGAAAACGCACUUACUAAUAUUAGGUUGGUAUGACGGUACCGGAAGAAUAAGGACCGGCUAACUACGUG